AAAAAGCCAAACCUUGAGUUUUCGUGUCCAACUUUGACUGUCCGUCUUAUAUGAAUUUUUUUUAUAAUUCGUAUUUUCAUUGUUGUUAGAUGAUAAAACAUGAUUAAUAUUUUAUGCGUGACUUGUCUUUUAAAUUUUUUUCAUAAUUUUUUCAAAUAAGAUGGACGGUCAAACGUUGGACACGGAAACUAGGGUUUGUCUUUUU
rnacentral:pre_miRNA from 1 species